UGGGCAACCUGCCCCCAGACACAGGGAUAACCCCGGGAAACCGGGGCUAAUACCGGAUACUCCGGUCGAACCGCAUGGCUCGAUCGGGAAAGCUCCGACGGUCUGGGAUGGGCCCGCGGCCUAUCAGCUUGUUGGUGGGGUAACGGCCUACCAAGGCGACGACGGGUAGCCGGCCUGAGAGGGCGUCCGGCCACACUGGGACUGAGACACGGUCCAGACUCCUACGGGAG
rnacentral:rRNA from 1 species